CUGACUCUUACUUCCUUUCUCUUUCGUCAGACUUUUGGGCUGCCCUGCCAGGCAGGGGUGAAGGGCAGGUCAGGCGGGAGGCACGAGCAUCCCUCGCCUCCCGCCAGCCCGAUCCCCCCGUGCCUCGUCAGGACAGACAGAAAUGACGUGAAGCCUUUGGCCAUGUCAGCCAAACGAGCUGUUCUAACUAGCAAAUCUGGGUGCUAAUUAGGCUGCUGUUCAAUUAAUUGACCCAGCACCCAGGCCUCCUGUGUUAGGGGGGUGGAACUGGAUGAGCUUUAAGGCCCCUUCCAACCCGAGCUGUUUUGUGAUUUCAUGGUUUCUCCUUCCAGCUGAGGUCUUCUAGGAUUUGUGGAGCGGGAGCAUUUUGACAAGUGCCUGCACAGUUUUCUCCUUUCAGUGCCCCGGAAGGGAAGUGAUGGGUUCUGCCAAAGAUGAGUGCUUGGAUAAUAAGAGAUAAUCAGCGAUGCUCUGCAGCAGGCUUUUGUGUGCAGCAUUACAGCAAAAUCCUAAAUUCCCUUUCCUGCUCAUGCAUACAAAGCAGGAAGAACUAACAUGGCUGCAGACUGUUUCUGUUUGCAGAUGAUUUAGCCAAGGAGAAAAUAACUGGAUGGCUGAAAGAAAGAGUAUUUGGUGGGAAACAACCCUGGAGCACAGCUCCAACGUGAUGGCACGUGAGGCGUCCAGCGUCCUGAGAUGCCCGUGCUCCCAGAAAUGUCAACUGCCAGAGGAGACAGCACGGGACAAUGAGGAAAACCAGAGCAUGCAGGAUCUGAUGGAUGACAGGCUUCCUCCUCCUCAGAGCUGGGUGCUCCCUUCUGCUCCUGGUUCCAGCACUGACACAGGGAAAAUUCCUCCUGGCCAAUUUAGGGCUGCUGUUAGGUGCUGUGGAGGCGAGCCAGGAAUUCGGCUAGUGUAAAUCAGUGCAGCCCGGCGGGCUUGGUUCAAGCGAGGAUGUUUGUACCCGGGGAUGAGCUGCUGCCGCCCAAACCAAGGGCAGGGACACCGGCCCCUGCACCUGGCGCACGCCCUCCCUUAGGGCAGGGCAGGUUCUCCAUGGCAGAGAGCCUUGCAUUGAUACCUGAGCAAAGCCCGACACCUCCCUGUGCAUCGCUUCACGGUCUGUGGUCGGCAGCCUGCAGGAGAAACCUCAGCUUGCCCACAGCCUGGGGGCUGUGCCUGGCUCUGAGCACAUGGCUUUUCCUGCCCCUGCCUCAGCACCCCGACUGCACGACGCUCUGUGAGGCGCUUUGAAUAUCACUGAUUAAAAAGUAUUAAAUGGUCCCUCGUCUGGUCCCUCGGGCAUGUUGCGCAGCCACGGCAGCUGGGCACAAACACCCCCCCCGCUCCCUUGUUUUGAAGCUUCACCCAAUUCCCAGGAUUAUCCCCCCCUUGCCUGUGACAACGUGGAAAGGCGCUGGGAUGACACGAGGCCGUGUCGCUGCGUGCCCCCGGCCAUCUCCUGCUGGCACCUGGGGCCGAUGAAACCCCUCGCUGUGGAUUUAUGCCGGGUGCUGCAGAGAUGUGCUGGGGGCCGAGGGGAUUUGGGGAGGCUGCGGUGAGGUGAGGUGAGGCCAGGGCGAGGCUGAGGCUGAAGCUUUGGAGGCCCCAGGCGAGGAGCACGGUUUGGGUGAGGUUGCACCCCCACCUGCUGGAUAAGCCAAGCAAGGACAGGAGAGAGGCCUCCUGCCGGGGACAAGUGGGGCGAGAAAAGGAGAAAAUAAAUACUCGAGGAGGGCAAAGGAGCCCCGGCUUCCUGGUGUCUGCGGGGGCACAGGGUGGAGACCCCGCUGCCCGCCCGGGGAGCUGGGUGUCCCAUGGGGUGACACUGAGUUGGGUGCUGGGUGUCCCAUGGGGUGACACUGAGCGGGUCCAAGACAUGAGGUGACUGUGACCCAGGCUGCGAGGGUCUGGACGCGUGGAGCAGGCCGAGCAGAGCUGCUCCAUGCUGCUUCGUGCCCAGGUGGUGCCAAGGGGCCACGGCCAGAGGGUGCUGAGGUACAAAACUAGUGGCCUUGGUGGGACUUAAACGUGUAGAGGAACCCAAACCACAGGUGCCCAGAUUUAUCAGGAAUGUUGCUGCACGGCUAUCUAUGGUCCGUGAUCUAUGUGACCAGCACCCUCGCAGUGAGUGGG